rnacentral:rRNA from 1 species
GACGAACCGUGCGAACGUUAUUCGGAAUCACUGGGCUUAAAGGGCGCGUAGGCGGGUCGGUAAGUCAGGGGUGAAAUCCCACGGCCCAACCGUGGAAGUGCCUCUGAUACUGCCGGCCUCGAGGGGGAUAGGGGCGUGCGGAACUCAGGGUGGAGCGGUGAAAUGCGUAGAUAUCGUCUGGAACGCCAACGGUGAAAACAGACUGCUGGGAGUGUGCUGACGCUGAGACACGAAAGCCAGGGGAGCAAACGGG